rnacentral:tRNA from 1 species
GGGAGAUUAGCUCAGUUGGUAGAGCGCAUGACUGUUAAUCAUGAUGGCGUAAGUUCAAAGCUUACAUUUCCCGCCA